CAGCUGUCGGAGAGCAACGGGUGAGCAACAGUCUGAGUGAAAACCUUCACAUUUCUACUUCGAUCUUAAGAAAGCCAUACAGGUUUGGAACCAAGUGAAAACGCAGUGAUGACCAGCUUUCCAUCAGCUAUGGAAUGUGAAAUAAAAAAUGCUAUUUCUAAUCAUUUCAAACAAGCACCAGGGACGGCAGGGGGUGGGGGUUAUGGAUCUAAAGUAAACAGUUAAUUCUUAAAAAUUAAUUGUUUUACAUAUUUUUCCAAUGUUUUAUUUGUUCAUUUUUAUGUUUGAAUGUUGUCCAAGUUGUUGUUGUCUAUAUAAUUGUUCAAAAUAAAUCCCUUUAUAUUC